CCUACGGGUGGCAGCAGUGAGGAAUAUUGGUCAAUGGACGAGAGUCUGAACCAGCCAAGUAGCGUGAAGGAUGACUGCCCUAUGGGUUGUAAACUUCUUUUAUAUGGGAAUAAAAUGUUCCACGUGUGGGAUUUUGUAUGUACCAUAUGAAUAAGGAUCGGCUAACUCCGUGCCAGCAGCCGCGGUAAUACGGAGGUUCCGAGCGUUAUCCGGAUUUAUUGGGUUUAAAGGGAGCGUAGGUGGAUUGUUAAGUCAGUUGUGAAAGUUUGCGGCUCAACCGUAAAAUUGCAGUUGAAACUGGCAGUCUUGAGUACAGUAGAGGUGGGCGGAAUUCGUGGUGUAGCGGUGAAAUGCGUAGAUAUCACGAAGAACUCCGAUUGCGAAGGCAGUUCACUGGACUGCAAAUGACACUGAGGCUCGAAAGUGUGGGUAUCAAACAGGAUUAGAUACCCUGGUAGUC
rnacentral:rRNA from 1 species